AGUCUGUAGCUAUAGCCAAGGAGAAAUAUAGCCCCAGGGAUAUAGAUGGGAAAUGAAAUCACCUGGCCCCUGACUCAGUCCAUCUCCCAGGCUAACUGGGAGCUACUGGAUACAGGCAUCAGGAAGGUGAUGUGAAAGAUGCCGCAGGUGAAAGAGAAGAAGAACGCGGAGCACCUGAGCAGCUGUGGAGCCUCGGAUUCGUUGGAAGGCACAUUCUUGGAAGAAUAGGAAUUCUUCUCAACAAAUUCCUCUCAACUUCUUGCAAAUAGCCAACUCUUUGUGGAUAGUCAAGACUCAUCUUUUACAUUUUAUUCUGCAGAAAGCCUCCUGUGAUGGUUAAUAUUGAGUGUUAACUUGAUUCGGCUGAAAGUAUGCAAAGUAUUGUUCCUGGGUAUGUCUGUGAGGGUGCUGUCAAAAGAGAUUAACAUUUGAGUCAGUGGACUGAGAGAGGCAGACCCACCAUUAAUCUGGGUGGGCACCAUCCCCUUGGCUGCCAGCAUGGUUAGAAAAAGCAGACAGAAGAAAGUGGAAUGAGCAGACUUGCUGAGUCUUCUGGCCUUCAUCUUUCUCCUGUGCUGGAUGCUUCCUGACCUGGAACAUCAGACUCCAAGUUCUUCAGCUUCUGGACUCUCGGACUUACACCAGUGAUUUGCCAGGGCAUCUUGGGCUCUUGGGCCUUCAGCCACAGACAGAAGGCUGCACUGCCAGCUUCCCUACUUUUGAGGUUUUGGGACUCAGACUGGCUUCCUUGCUCCUCAGCUUGCAGAUGGCCUAUUGUGGAAUUUCACCUUAUGAUCGCAUGAGUCAAUUCUCCUUAAUAAAUUCCCCUUCAUAUAUACAUCUAUCCUAUUAGUUCUGUCCCUCUAGAGAACCCCGACUAAUACGCCUCACAUUCUUCUUUCCCCAAACAGCAAAAGGCAUUUCUCUUCUGUGUUUUUUUUAGCAUAUUAUUUAUAAGUUAAAUCAUAGUACUUACCAUAAUGUGCUUUAAUUAUUGCGUGUUUGAAGGUCUACUCCACAGGACUGAAAAGUAUCUGGUGGUCUGGCCUGAUUUGCUUCAGGUACAGGAAUUAGAACUUUUCUAUGUCUAUACCAUCAAUGUCUAGCACUGUCCUCUCACUCCAUGUGGCAUGUACUUAAAAUAUGGCAUAAAAGGAUAAAUCUGAUUUUUGUAGAAUUUCCUAAUAGUGUGAAAAUGCUGGUGUGUAUGUUAUCAUACUGAAGAUAUGUUUCUUUCAUGACAGCUCUCAUUCUCAGAGGACUGUGAUGGUAUCAUGAUAUAUUUCUAAUGCUAUCUGUGGUAGUAAAGAUGUGUCAAAGAGGCCCACUGUUUGAAUUCUUGCACCCAAUGAAUUGUUACCAAUUUUCUGUAGUUUUGUGUGAAAAGCACUCUUACUUUGUUAUUAUUUCCAUGAUGCUACUCAUCAAUCUAAUGCUACAGGCCCAGUUUAGUAGUGAAAUGCUUAAGGUCCCAUCUCUUUGGACUUUGUUUAUCUUUAUCUGCAGUUCAUUUUCCUUAUUUUAAUUGUUUACCUUGCCAUAGAUCAUCAGAAGCUAAGAUACUGGAAAAGUGACUUUAAGUCCUUAAUCAACAAAUUAUUUGUUAUCAAAUCUGUUGCAGCGACAUUAAGUGUCCACUGCAUUGACAACCUCCCAGAAGCUGCCAUCUCGACGAAUUUGUCCUUCACUGAGUACUUUCACAAAUGUCACUCCUGACAGCGUGCACAGCAGCUAUUUCAGUAGAACAGACACAUAUUGUUUGGAGCACAGUGGUAGCCUCGGCUUUGAGUUCUGUCGUUAUUUAGGGUUCUGCCUCUUGGAUGGCUGCCUUUCUGGACGAAAAUGAAUCAUUCCUUCUCACAGUGCUGCCUGGCACACUGAUGCAUGCCUGCUGCUGCAGCUCUGUCUGAAGACAUGGUUCCAUAGGUCACAUGCCAUUUUUUUAAACUCAUGCUCCUGAGGUGACCCCCACCUUCAUCUGAUGACACACAGGAGUAGCUCAAAUGUCAUGUUGUCAAUCAUCUUGUGGACAUGACUGUGUCAGGAUGCCCAGCCUCAUUGCUUCAGGAUCUUCCCACUAUUGAUCUUCUCUUGCCACUUGCUGUUAAGCUUCAUGCGUGAGGGACUCUGGGAAAAUUUCUUAAGAAACUAAAGGUCACAUCAAGACAGAUUCAAGUCUUGAAGGAAAAAAUGGUUAGUUUUCUCAAGACUGUUGGAUGUAGGAGUUUCCUUAAUGUUUGUUUUCCACUUCUUAGUUUUUUUCUUACUUGUCUGAAUGAAAAAGUAAGAGAGCAUAAUUUUGUAGCUGCUUUAAAACCAUAGUAUCAGAGAACUUCAGUUUUGAAAAAGGUAUGUCAUUGACUUCAACCUCCCAUUCCCACAUGAGAAAACACAGAGAGACAACGAGAGAGAAAGGAAGUGUACCAUGGAAAAAAUUAACAUAAUAGCUGCAACGUUCUCCAUGAAUUAGUUUGAUUUGUCAUUUGCAAUCUUAAUGAAA
rnacentral:lncRNA from 1 species